rnacentral:rRNA from 1 species
UACGUAGGAGGCAAGCGUUGUCCGGAAUUACUGGGUGUAAAGCGCGUGUAGGCGGCGGGCCAAGUCUGUGGUGAAAUCGCCCGGCUCAACUGGGCGGGGUCCAUGGAAACUGGUCAGCUGGAGGACGGUAGAGGUGAGUGGAAUUCCCGGUGUAGUGGUGAAAUGCGUAGAGAUCGGGAGGAACACCCGUGGCGAAGGCGGCUCACUGGGCCGGUCCUGACGCUGAGACGCGAAGGCGUGGGGAGCGAACGGG